rnacentral:rRNA from 1 species
GAACGCUGGCGGCAGGCCUAACACAUGCAAGUCGAACGGUAACAGGACACAGCUUGCUGUUUCGCUGACGAGUGGCGGACGGGUGAGUAAUGUCUGGGAAACUGCCUGAUGGAGGGGGAUAACUACUGGAAACGGUAGCUAAUACCGCAUAACGUCGCAAGACCAAAGAGGGGGACCUUCGGGCCUCUUGCCAUCGGAUGUGCCCAGAUGGGAUUAGCUAGUAGGUGGGGUAACGGCUCACCUAGGCGACGAUCCCUAGCUGGUCUGAGAGGAUGACCAGCCACACUGGAACUGAGACACGGUCCAGACUCCUACGGGAGGCAGCAGUGGGGAAUAUUGCACAAUGGGCGCAAGCCUGAUGCAGCCAUGCCGCGUGUAUGAAGAAGGCCUUCGGGAUGUAAAGUACUUUCAGCGGGGAGGAAGGGAGUAAAGUUAAUACCUUUACUCAUUGACGUUACCCGCAGAAGAAGCACCGGCUAACUCCGUG